AUAAAACAAAAAAAAUGUGACACAAAAACAUUCAAGGUAGCUAUAAAUAUUAAGAUCACUACACUCACUAUUAUAUCCAGAAAAGUACAAACAUGGUAUGUUUUCCCUCAUACUGUAAAUCAUUUUAUUUAAUGCACAGAUACCCUAUGUACUUU